AUGUGUCUAGCUGUUUCGGACUCUAUCCCAACAAGACACGUUCCAAAUAACGUACUAACAGAAUUUGAAGGAGUAAUGUUAAAAGCAAUGGCGGCCUCGAAAAUCUUGUCACCGGACAGCACCUCGGUCACUUUCAUCCACGACAGCACGCCUCCCAGCGCUACGUCGACGAGCCCUACGCCGUCGCCGCCGAAGAAGCCCCCUCCCUUGGAGCAUUCCCUCAGGGCUCCUUCAAGAAUCUCCACCGCCGCGAACGCCUGCUUCUUUCCCUUGGAUUUCUCCUCCUCUGUCUUGCCCCUCAACCACUGCCUCCAUGGGGCUACCAGCUGA
rnacentral:rRNA from 1 species